UACCCGAAAAAUUCAAGUUAAUUUCCGAUGACGUUUUGGAAAUGAUUUCGUGGUCGUGGACACGAGUACGAAGCUUAGAGGAGUGUGGAAUUAGUUCGAACGAUUUUAUUUUGAAAACUGAACGUUUUAGGGGGGUCAAAGGAGUUGACUUUUUAUACAUUGGGAAAUUGGGAAAACUUCCUUCAUGAAAGUUGUAGAGCGCGUCGAUACGAGUUCGUGGACAUAUGGAACGUAAUAUUCGGAGUUCGUAUGAAUAAGUUACGAAUAUUUGAAAAUUGGGAUUUUCUAUAAAUAUGAAAAAAAAUCCGAAUAUUGCAAAUGAGGACAGAAUUUCUGGAACUCCAGAAAUUUCUCCCCAUUUCUCUCCCGAGCCCAGCCGCGACCCCCUCCCUUCGUCACCUUCGUUCUUCCUCAUCCGGCCACCGAUUGAUGUGAAACAAAGUGGGUUUUUCUGGUCUCGACCCCCUUUACGAGUUUGUAGAAGAAAUCGAAGUGAAAUACGAGCUGUAUGAGGCUCUACAAGGUCGAGAAGAGAGCCUCGUCGGAGACGAAAUCGCUCUUCCCCACUUUUUCUGGGCUCUACUUUGUCUGGCCAUAUCUUCCUCUACAGGCCUCCGAUCGACCUGAUUCCAAAAGCAAUUUUUCUCACCGUGAAGUUUUCUACAACUUUCCAGAAGACAUCGACUUGAGAUAACCAUCGUGGUGGCCGCUAGAAGACCGAGAAGCCGCACAGCCGAGCUGGAAAUCGUCUUCCUUCGCCACCUUGGUUCUCCCAGCUCCGGCCACUAUAGCUCGAGUUCUUUGAGGGCUUUUCUAGCCCAGAGGAAGUAGAAGCUAUCCCCAAGAAGGCUUGCAGCGAUUUGAUCAGGGGUGAUCGAAUUUUGAAGAUUGGGAAACUAGGGUUCUUCGGGUUUCAAAACUUGCGAGGUGAUUGACGGUCUCCCUUGGGUGAACGAUUUCGGUGUGUAUUGUGUUGAAUUGAAGACGCAGCGGGAAUAUCGAGGUGAGUAAAUCGCACAUGGUUCAUUCACGAACCGAAAUUCGGUGAUUUUAUUUAAUUGAGAAAUUGUGGAAAUUGUUUUACUAAAAUAAAUAUUUGUUUUAAAUUAUAUGGACUUGAUCGACUACGGUCCAUAGGUAAGUAAAAUGUAUUUAAACUAUAAAAAUGAAUUUCUAGAUUUUAUUGCAUGUGAACUAUAGUUGGUAUUAGUGGUCACUCUUGUGUGGGUGACUACGUAUAUAUAUAUUUACGUGGAAUAUAUAUUGGAUGGUGUGAUUUACUGAGUUA